CCUGCUGAUUCUGAAUGGAAAAGAGCUGGAGAGAAGAUGAAUAAAAUGGUUGUAUAUGUUUUCUUUAUAAUUUUGGAAUGCAUUCAGGCUUCACACCAGGCAGCAGAGAGAGAGAAGCAGCAGACACCAUUCUCAUACUCAACUCAUGCUUGGAAAGAGUGCAAAUUUUGUCAUCAGCAUUGUCCACAAUGGUGUCUUGACUCUGAGAACAGAAUACAUUUAUGAACAGUGAAGGAUUAAAUCGCAAGAGGACAGAUGAAAAGUAGUUUAAUAGGGCAAGAGGCAAUUUGGCUCAUUGUAGUUUGUCAAGUUGGCACUUCAGAUCUAAGCCAGCAGGAAGGUGGUCUUGCCUCCAGCCUCUUCAUCUGCCUCUGCAUUUCCAUGAUUUGUGAAGCCUGCAGCACCAUUCACCUUAGUCUACCAGAACACUGAUCAUGUGUGAGUUUGCUAAUGCACGUGACAGACACUUUACAGUUGAUGUCACUGAUGCCAGCCUAAGGUGACAGAGUUGUCUUAUUCUGGGUAUCCUUGAAAAUCCUGUGGAUACUUCUCAUAGCUACUGUAAAUGCUGUAAUCACUACAGAGGGGAUGACUGGAUAUUUCUAUGUUGUUUUGUUAACUUCUCCUAUAAACAUCAGGAAAUUAAGCUGGAUGUUGUGUGGUAGUUGGCAAUCUCUUAUCUGGGGCUUUAUUCAUUUUUUUAAUAUUCUCAUUCCCCCUUUCUACUUCCUUCCCUGCUAGAUUUUCCACGGCAAUAUUAGGAUGAAUGUGUCUGUCAGUUUCAAGCUGUGACUUUUUUUUUCUGUUUUUGUAGAGCUGUCCCAAAGCAUACCUGGGAGCUGGGAACAUUAAAAAGAAAAGGAAGCAGAGUCCUCUGUAGUGUAAGAUCGCUGGUCUUGCCUGUAACACGAACACCUGCUGAGACCUUGCUGGAAGAGGACCUUUGGAAGUCUUUGGUUGUCUUGCUCCCUCCUGACAGUGCAUCAUGGCACUGAGGAUCAUUAGCUUCUUCUCAAUGUACUAUCCUAGCACUGCUGAAAGAAGCAGUGCAGCAGGCUCCGGGCAGCCUCCCUGUCAGAACAACACCGGGGCUUAUUCAGCCUGAAUAGGUCUGCUGAGGAGCAGAGGUUCUGUGAUGAGCCACUGUGGCACUACGAUGGUGCUACACUGAUGCUGACGUUCUCACCAGCAGACUCCAGGCCCUGCUGAGCUUUGCAGUUGCAUGCACAUAACUCCAUAGGACAACUGUGGGAGAUGUCUGCGUGUGGCAGCCAGGGGAUGAGCUCCCUGUGUAGCAACAUCUGGGGACCAGAAACUGAGUAUUCUUGGCUACAGGCCCUUGACUCUGAAAUAUGAUCUUCCCUCCCUUCUGGUCCGUCUUUUCACAGAGCAAAGGAAUAAAGAAGGGAGCUAAGUAUCUCUGGAUGGAAGUCCAGUCAGCUAAUUAAUAUCAAUGAGGUGCGUGUUAUUUUUAGUUAUUGCAGAUGUGCUCAUACCUCAUUAGCUUAAACACUUUAAAGCAAAUAAAUAACAGCUUCUGUCAUGCUUAAAGGAAACAUUUUAUAAAGAGGUUAUUGAUCUGGACUUCAGAGAAACCUGGUGGGAAAUCUGUAAGGCUUCUUCUUCCAGAGGAGGGAAAGGAGGGGAAGACAUUACAGAAGUAAACUAAAUGUGUCCUCUUUUGUAAUGCACAUUAAGAAGCCAAAAGGGUGAUCUGUUUCCAGGUGGGUCUGGUGGGUUUGAGUUCCUGGGUUGGUUCCUCUGAUGGAGACACUUUGUAGACCCAGUGAGCCAACUUGAAUAUCUUCCUGUGAGUUGUUCUGGGGAGACGGUCCAGAAGAAAGGGUUUGUCUGGAGCCUGCAGGAGGAAUAUUUCUUUGACCCUGAUUACCUGAUAUUUUAAUUUCCAUAUUUAGCAAGCAUCCCAGAUGUGUGUUGCAGGAAAUAAGUAACUUGUCAGUGGUUUUGAGGUUUCUCGGCAAAAAGAAGAUUACGUCGUUUUACACUGAAGUAUUGAAGGGAGUGUUUUAUAUUUUGAAUGCUAAUGAGCACAGUUUUUUUCAGACGGGAGCCAUAAAACUGUCAUUAUGUCAGUGGUAUGUCUUUGUUCUUAGCUUUGCUGGUGCUAAUCAAAGACAACAGUGGUAUAUUUUGAGUUAAUACUGUAACAAGAGGAAUGGCAUUAGUGGUCAUCAUCAUGAGUGACUCCUGGACAUGUGGUAAUAAUUUCUUAAGUGUUUCUGAAUAGUAAAUGAGUGAGGGAGAGGGAGUUCAGCUGCAGCGCUGUGCAGAAUGGAAUGUAUCAUUCAGCUGGAAUGAUAGAUCCACAGCUCACAUUCGAGAAGUUGUAAAAACAAAAUCUUUUUAAUAUAAUUAACAUAUCUUCUUCCACAGUCCCUCUUUCUUCUUCAGCAUCUGACUUUGCCUUUUUAUUUGGAAUAAAGCAGUUACUUUUAGCAUAAGGGCUGCAGGAGUGCAACCAUCUUAUGUUCUUAGGCAAAUCAUUCCAAGUGAGAAACCAAGCUCUCAUCCUUUAAGUAUUUUAGUUUUGCAUAGUUGGAUGUAAGUUUGAGAGCCUUCAGUUGAAAUGGCAUUUUCUUUCUUGUAAAUAGAUGCCCCCAGAUUUGGUAAAUAUAUGGAAAUAGAAUUGGUAACAUUAUAAAUUUAAGUGCCAGUUUUCUUAGGGAAAAAAAUUACCACCGAAACCUUUUUUAUUAUCAGUCAGGCAGUUUUCAUUUAUUUGGUGAGGCAGUAUGUUUGCAUUGGCUGGCAGGCUCACGAAUGGCUCCUGCAUAACGAAUCAUACAUUUUAAAAAUUCUUUCCAAAGCUUUUAUGAAAACACAAAAAGUUAAAUAACUUUAACACAGUUAUGUGAUCAGUCUGAUUAAGUUAAUGCAUUUAGUUUAAGUAACCCCAGUGGGGUUUCAGCAGUACUGUAUGUUCCAGAGAAGGGAACAAUUGGUGCAUUUUCACUGUCUGACUGUGUUUCUCAGAGAAUGCUGAACAAUAUUAAACAUUCAGAGGCUGCAUUUUCCCUUUGUUUUGACAAAUGCUAAUAAGUAGCUAACUGCAAGAGAGGGGGAAAAAAUCCUAAUUCAAACCAGUUGUGUGAUGGUCAAACUCAGCAAAUUCCCUGACCAACAAGAUGUAAUCUGGGAAGAAAAGAGUGGAGUGGUAGCCUUUGCUAGCCUUUGAAAUCACUAAUAAAGUCAUUAGACAAUGUUUAGCUGAAGAGAAAUGACUAAAGCCAGAGAAAGACUAUUCUGAGGAGCUCUCAGAAGGAACAUUAGUGAGCUUUGGUUUCUAAUUAAGUGGUAUUAUUAGGAGCUUUGAUAAAAGUCCUUGCGUAUGUGACAUCUUGUAUUUCUCUGUGUAUCAAGAGUUGAAGAGAAACUAAAAAAAGAGAGACUUUUUAAUGAUAAUACCUGAAAAGUGUUUUUCAGCAGACCCAUACAUCAUUGUCAAGUGAAAAGAUUAAACUUUAUUGUUUCUUUUUGAACCAAGAACUCAAGGUGAGUGGAAAUGUCUUGAAAUGCAAAGUAGUUUGGCAGAUAAAGUAAAAUAGAGAUGAAAACAGACAAUAAAAAGACAUUGGCUGUAAUAGAGGAAAGAGAAGGGAAGUUCACUCUUUAAUGUUGCUGGGAGAACUUUCUUUUUUGCUAUUAAUGAUAGUAUUUAAGUGUUACAAUUACAAGCUUUUAUUGAAACGAAACAUUUCAUUUAAGGAAUGGCACCAAAAUCAGUUUUGUGUGUAAUAUGAAGCAUUAGUUAUGUGAUGCUGCUGCCAAAAUAAACCCCACCAUUCAUUUAAAAUAUCAGGAAACUCCAUUUGAGAGGGUAGUUAUACAUCCAUUGAGGAUACUCUGUAUAUUAUUUUUCCUUGGUAUUAAUAAAGUCUAUUAACAACAUAACUGCAAUUGA